UUUUGUUAUUGAUAUUUGAGGUUUUAUUAUGAUUUGGAAACUUGCUUUGAAUCAAGUGGAAGGAUUCAAAACCCAACCCAAGAGAGCUCUGUGUGGUGGGGAAGGAGGCUGCAGUGGAGCAAGCAAACAUGCUUUGAAGAAAGUUCCCAAGGCAGGUGGCAUGUUUCUUCAUUUGGAUUCCAGGAGACAUAAACAACAGCAGCUGUGGAGAUGACCCUUCUCGGAUGGGAAAAUUCACUUCUGAAAACUCACUGUGAAAUUCACUUCUGUUCAGCCUAUGACGCCAUGACAAGCUUCCAGCGUGGAGAUUUAAGAUGAGAUGCAUCAGCCCCAUGUGUGACAGGACAAAUAGGCUGAACAGGAGGGGAACAGACUAAUUAGUUGCCUUGAACUGAAGGAUGCCCUGGCACUGUUUGGUUAAUCACUGGACAAGGCUAACACAAUUGAACAAAUGACCAAUGUAAUAAGUAACAAAUGGAAACCACUCCACUUUCAGCAAAGGAGCUGCCUAUUUAAAGGCAGCAAGAGGUUUGCAGCACCAGCCCUAGCAACAAGGACAAAAGUUAUCCCAAAUGCGUGUAUGAAGCAGAGCUCUGAACACGUGAGGCUAAGCCACCAUGGACCCACUGUAUCAUGCUAUUAAUAGGAAGGGGCCUGCAUUAACUACUUAGAGGGCGACGCAAAGGCAUCAGAAGAAAUCUGUGAUGUACAUAAAGAAGCAAGUUGCACCAUAUCUAAUUGCUGGAAUAAUGAUUUUCUGCCAUGCAAAUUACCAGGAGCAAAUUCACUCCAGUACAUUUGUGUAUUUAAUUAUCAUCAAGAGCUGGAAUUGAGGGACUAGAUUUAAUAUGCUCAUAAUGAAACAGCCAGAAUUUGUGUGUGUAUUUGCAGAGAACUCGUUAUUUUACCACAGCUGGAUUGAUUUAUUUUAAAUAAAUCAUUAUGGCAGAGACAGUUUCUGCCUGUUUGCCCAUUUAUCACAAAAAUUGUGGUUUCAUUUAUAGAGGUGGUUUUUAUCAAGCACACAUCACCCCUUCUUGCUCGCAAGCUGCAUGUUUCUGUAUAUUUUGAGGAGCUCAGUGCAAAGAAUAGGUGUUACUUCAUGUAUAAGCCAAGAAUAGAGGAGUAGGAGGAAUUAGGAUGACUUCGAUGGGUUAAGAUUUUGUAACAGGUCAUAGGUCUUCAUACUUGUAGACACA